rnacentral:rRNA from 1 species
GACGAACGCUGGCGGCGUGCCUAAUACAUGCAAGUCGAACGAACUCUGGUAUUGAUUGGUGCUUGCAUCAUGAUUUACAUUUGAGUGAGUGGCGAACUGGUGAGUAACACGUGGGAAACCUGCCCAGAAGCGGGGGAUAACACCUGGAAACAGAUGCUAAUACCGCAUAACAACUUGGACCGCAUGGUCCGAGCUUGAAAGAUGGCUUCGGCUAUCACUUUUGGAUGGUCCCGCGGCGUAUUAGCUAGAUGGUGGGGUAACGGCUCACCAUGGCAAUGAUACGUAGCCGACCUGAGAGGGUAAUCGGCCACAUUGGGACUGAGACACGGCCCAAACUCCUACGGGAGGCAGCAGUAGGGAAUCUUCCACAAUGGACGAAAGUCUGAUGGAGCAACGCCGCGUGAGUGAAGAAGGGUUUCGGCUCGUAAAACUCUGUUGUUAAAGAAGAACAUAUCUGAGAGCAACUGUUCAGGUAUUGACGGUAUUUAACCAGAAAGCCACGGCUAACUACGUGCCAGCAGCCGCGGUAAUACGUAGGUGGCAAGCGUUGUCCGGAUUUAUUGGGCGUAAAGCGAGCGCAGGCGGUUUUUUAAGUCUGAUGUGAAAGCCUUCGGCUCAACCGAAGAAGUGCAUCGGAAACUGGGAAACUUGAGUGCAGAAGAGGACAGUGGAACUCCAUGUGUAGCGGUGAAAUGCGUAGAUAUAUGGAAGAACACCAGUGGCGAAGGCGGCUGUCUGGUCUGUAACUGACGCUGAGGCUCGAAAGUAUGGGUAGCAAACAGGAUUAGAUACCCUGGUAGUCCAUACCGUAAACGAUGAAUGCUAAGUGUUGGAGGGUUUCCGCCCUUCAGUGCUGCAGCUAACGCAUUAAGCAUUCCGCCUGGGGAGUACGGCCGCAAGGCUGAAACUCAAAGGAAUUGACGGGGGCCCGCACAAGCGGUGGAGCAUGUGGUUUAAUUCGAAGCUACGCGAAGAACCUUACCAGGUCUUGACAUACUAUGCAAAUCUAAGAGAUUAGACGUUCCCUUCGGGGACAUGGAUACAGGUGGUGCAUGGUUGUCGUCAGCUCGUGUCGUGAGAUGUUGGGUUAAGUCCCGCAACGAGCGCAACCCUUAUUAUCAGUUGCCAGCAUUAAGUUGGGCACUCUGGUGAGACUGCCGGUGACAAACCGGAGGAAGGUGGGGAUGACGUCAAAUCAUCAUGCCCCUUAUGACCUGGGCUACACACGUGCUACAAUGGAUGGUACAACGAGUUGCGAACUCGCGAGAGUAAGCUAAUCUCUUAAAGCCAUUCUCAGUUCGGAUUGUAGGCUGCAACUCGCCUACAUGAAGUCGGAAUCGCUAGUAAUCGCGGAUCAGCAUGCCGCGGUGAAUACGUUCCCGGGCCUUGUACACACCGCCCGUCACACCAUGAGAGUUUGUAACACCCAAAGUCGGUGGGGUAACCUUUUAGGAACCAGCCGCCUAAGGUGGGACAGAUGAUUAGGGUG